rnacentral:rRNA from 1 species
GACGAACGCUGGCGGCGUGCUUAACACAUGCAAGUCGAGCGAGGGCCUUCGGGUCCUAGCGGCGAACGGGUGAGUAACACGUGGGCAACCUGCCCCAAGCUUCGGAAUAACCUCGGGAAACCGGGGCUAAUGCCGGAUACGACACCACUGGGCAUCUUGUGGUGUGGAAAGAUUUAUCGGCUUGGGAUGGGCCCGCGGCCUAUCAGCUUGUUGGUGGGGUAGUGGCCUACCAAGGGCGACGACGGGUAGCCGGCCUGAGAGGGCGACCGGCCACACUGGGACUGAGACACGGCCCAGACUCCUACGGGAGGCAG